ensembl:lncRNA
AUGAGGCUUUCCCCGGCCCCAGGGCGACACAAGCGCGGGCCGGGGCCGGGAUCACCGAGCGGGGCGGCAGCGCGAUUCGGCGCGGGGAAGGGGAGGGCCUCUCCCGCCCCGCGACGCCACCUCAGCAGCGCCCCCCCGGGCAGCUGCCCUGUAGAGCUCUACUGUGCGGCGGCGGCGGCGGCGCUGACCAAUAGGGAGCUGCGGCGGCGGCAGCCCUGGCCAAUGGCGCGGCGUGGAACGCGCCGGGGAGCUGAUGUCACUUCCGCCGCAGGCUGCCGGAGUCGGCGGCGGUGGGGAGCGGAGGGGUCGCGGCGCUGCCGCACNGCAGCGGAUGGGCUGCAAGAGACCUCGUCCAGCCCCCUGCUCAAGGGUCACGGAAUGGUAGAGAAGCAGGGCCAGAAGGCGCCCCCGGAGGUCAUCCCCUGAGGCAGGGCUGCGUCUAGCUAAACCCUCCCGUAUAACGCACAACCUAACCUCUUCCUAAUACUACCGUCAACCCUGAUGCAACAACGAGACCGAGCACCCUAACCUGCCGCAGGUAAAGCAGGGAGACUGGGGCAGCCAACAUCUGCUUUUAACCCAAAGUGUUGAUAUAUGCUGGAGGGAUGCCCAGGAGAGGGCUGGCCCCCGCCACUGAGGAAGGCAGAAUCCCCCACGGUCUGACCUGUCUGAGCACCGCAUAAGGUCCCGUCCUGACCCCAAGUGUGGUGAUCUGUCUCAUUCUGAUUGGAGGGGCAAGACCCUCCAGGAGCAACCUCCGGCUGCGGUCCUAGCAGGAGCAUUGGCACACCCAGUUGAAAUCUCCAGGGAUUUUCAUUCAUAGAUUGUAAGGCUGGAAGGGACUUCAGAAGAUCAUCGGGUCCAGCCCCCUGCACCAAGCAGGAAAGAUAACUAGGGGUCCGGUGACCCCAGCAAGGCGACUGUCCAGUCUCAUCCUGAAGAUUUCCAGGGUAAGCAAUUGCACCAUUGCACCACCUCUGUAGGGAACUUACUCCACAGUCUGGACUCCCUGACUGCGAAGAAGUUUAUUUCUGGGUCCAAUUUAUUGCUGCCCAGCCAUUGUGCAUAGUUGGUCAUGCCUCUGCAGUUUGUUUCUCCCACUAGAUUUCAGGGGACCUUGUGCUUCCACUGGGAAACCACUCUGUCCUCCUAAACUUACAUCCCUGUCAGUUCUUCAGAAAAAGAGAAACUUUGGCCAUUAGUUCAGUUACAUGGGAAGAUUCAACCUGCUUUAUUAAUACACAGAUAAAUAUCAUCACUGUUGGGGCCGAACUGCAGUCGAUUUAUCUAAAUUAAAUCUUUCUAUGUCUGGAAUUUCAGUAUUUCAAAAUGAAGUCUCCUAAGGCAGUUGGGGAGCUGAGAAGUUUUACUUGCAUGUAGUGAUUUAUAAUUAAUGUUCUGGGUGAAAUGAUGCUACCUUAUCAGAGGUUUAGAGUAAAUGUCUUGAGAUAUAUUUUCAGUAUCCAGUUUCCACGCACUCAGAGAAGACUGCCUCAUCCAACGUUCAUAAAUAUUGCAGAUCUAUUCUAUUCUAGACAUCUGGUUUGUUCAGAGUAAAAGGACCAAAAGACGCAUGUAAAAUAGGCAAACUUUAGCAUGUGUUGAAAUCUGUAGUGUUAUACAUAAUCGCGAACUAGGCACAGGUACAAGUAUGCUUUCAGGAUUAGGGCCUAGGAUACAUGAAUAUGCAUUUAUAAGUAGGAUUUCCUUCCUCCUCUAUAUUCAUGUUUCUCUGUGCCAUACUUCAUUGCUAUAUGCUUAUUUGCCUUUAAAUGUACAGCUCUUAAACUUAGUACAGUAUUGAAUUUUGGUUAACUAUGUCUUGACUAUUAAUAAAUAUAUAGUUUAAAGGUUAUAAAAGUGCCUU